rnacentral:lncRNA from 1 species
GAACAGGAAGGGUCAGCAAGGAGCUGGAAGGUAAAGCAGCACAAAGGUAAAGUAGAAGGAGCAGAAAGGGUCAGAAAUGAGCUGGAAGGGGCAGAAGGAGCACAAACAUAAAGUAGGAGAAUGAGCAGGGAGGGCCUGCAAGAAGCAGGAAGGAGCACAAAGGGACAGCAAGGAGCACAAAGGUAAAGGAGCAGAAAGAAUCAGAAGGAGCACAAAGGUAAAGUAGGAGAAAGAGCAGAAAGGGACAGCAAGGAGCACAAAGGUAAAGUAGAAAAGG